AGAACCUUACCAGCCCUUGACAUGUCCGGCUCACCACAGAGAUGUGGUUUUCCCUUCGGGGACCGGAACACAGGUGCUGCAUGGCUGUCGUCAGCUCGUGUCGUGAGAUGUUGGGUUAAGUCCCGCAACGAGCGCAACCCUCGCCCUUAGUUGCCAGCAUUUAGUUGGGCACUCUAAGGGGACUGCCGGUGAUAAGCCGAGAGGAAGGUGGGGAUGACGUCAAGUCCUCAUGGCCCUUACGGGCUGGGCUACACACGUGCUACAAUGGUGGUGACAGUGGGCAGCGAAGGAGCGAUCCCGAGCUAAUCUCCAAACGCCUCUCAGUUCGGAUUGCACUCUGCAACUCGAGUGCAUGAAGUUGGAAUCGCUAGUAAUCGCGGAUCAGC
rnacentral:rRNA from 1 species